AUUGAACGCUGGCGGCAUGCCUUACACAUGCAAGUCGAACGGCAGCACGGGAGCAAUCCUGGUGGCGAGUGGCGAACGGGUGAGUAAUAUAUCGGAACGUGCCCAGUCGUGGGGAUAACGUAGCGAAAGCUACGCUAAUACCGCAUACGAUCUAUGGAUGAAAGACGGGGGAGUCGCAAGACCUCGCGCGAUUGGAGCGGCCGAUAUCAGAUUAGGUAGUUGGUGAGGUAAAGGGCUCACCAAGCCGACGAUCUGUAGCUGGUCUGAGAGGACGACCAGCCACACUGGGACUGAGACACGGCCCAGACUCCUACGGGAGGGCAGCAGUGGGGGAAUUUUGGUACAAUGGGCGCGAAGCCUGAUCCAGCAAUGCCGCGUGCAGGAUGAAGGCCUUCGGGUUGUAACGUUA
rnacentral:rRNA from 1 species